rnacentral:rRNA from 1 species
GUAGCUAUGUACGGAAUGGAUAAGCGCUGAAAGCAUCUCAGCGCGAAGCCCACUUCAAGAUAAGAUUUCCCACCGCAAGGGUAAGACCCAAGAAAGACUAUCUGGUUGAUAGGUCGAAGGUGUAAGUGCAGACAUGUAUCUGUACCUUA